GAGGGUAUAGCUCAAUGGUUGACUGUGUGCUUAGCAUGCACAAGGUCCUGGGUUCAAUCCCUGAUACCUCCG
rnacentral:tRNA from 1 species